UGCAUUCACUACUGUAAGUCACUCUGGAUAAGAGCGUCUGCUAAAUGACAAAUG
rfam:Salmo salar isolate Sally breed double haploid chromosome ssa21, whole genome shotgun sequence.